GAGUUUGAUUAUGGCUCAGGAUUAACGCUGGCGGCAUGCCUAAUACAUGCAAAUCGAACGAAGCCUUUUAGGCUUAGUGGUGAACGGGUGAGUAACACGUAUCCAAUCUACCCUUAAGUUGGGGAUAACUAGUCGAAAGAUUAGCUAAUACCGAAUAAUAACAUUUGUUCGCAUGAACGAAUGUAGAAAGUUGCGCUUGCAACGCUUUUGGAUGAGGGUGCGACGUAUCAGAUAGUUGGUGAGGUAAUGGCUCACCAAGUCAAUGACGCGUAGCUGUACUGAGAGGUAGAACAGCCACAAUGGGACUGAGACACGGCCCAUACUCCUACGGGAGGCAGCAGUAGGGAAUUUUUCACAAUGGACGAAAGCCUUAUGAAGCAAUGCCGCGUGAACGACGAAGGUCUUAUAGAUUGUAAAGUUCUUUUAUUUGGGAAGAACCACUAAAAUAGGAAAUGAUUUUAGUUNG
rnacentral:rRNA from 1 species